rnacentral:rRNA from 1 species
UACAGAGGUCUCAAGCGUUGUUCGGAUUCACUGGGCGUAAAGGGUGCGCAGGCGGCCAAGUGUGUGAGGCGUGAAAGCCUGGAGCUUAACUCCAGAAUUGCACCUCAAACUACUUGGCUAGAGCAUUGGAGAGGGUAGCAGAAUUCAUGGUGUAGCAGUGAAAUGCGUAGAUAUCAUGAGGAAUACCAGAGGCGAAGGCGGCUACCUGGGACAAUUGCUGACGCUCAGGCACGAAAGCGUGGGGAGCAAAAGGG